rnacentral:sRNA from 1 species
ACAAUUUAGCGCCAUGUUUGAGAAUGCAUUGACGUUCGGCCAGGGAAUAGAAAUUAUCGUAAAAGGAGUAUUAUGACUUGACGGAUGUAAGAUAAAUCAUGGAAAGGACUUGUUAAUGAUGCCAUAGUAAAUAAAGAAGUGUAGAUUUGUUCUAGGGGAGUGGAAAAAUAAGAAAACGGUGAAACAACAAAUGAAACAAGUCCAAGUCAGCACACAAUCUUGAGUCCAGUGAUGAAAAACCGAUGAACGCUCAAAAUUGCCCCCGUACUCAUGGAAGAGCGAUAUUUGGAGGACAGUGAAGGAAAGCUUGGACAAUGAAUAUUAGGAAAUUCUUCCGUUCAGAAGCAGGAGGUUCCUUCAGAAAAAAAAAAUUAGAACCAGAGAUUUCAUUAAGGAGCAGCAUAAUUCAAAAGAGAAGUUGUCCCGGAUAUUUGUGUAAAUUGCAAUUGGAAAUGGAAUUUAAAAACUACUUUCUGUAAAUUAAAAAAUGAUGACUCUGAUGUAUAACACAAUAUAUGAUUGUAUUAAAAUGCAUGUGUUUUAUGUAAAUAACAUUGUGUUUUAUGUAAAUAACAUUGAUCUAGAGGAAAUAUAUUGUGUUUAUGUAAAUAACAUUGAUCUAGAGGAAAUAUUUCAUUGUAAAAUAUUUACACACUUAUUUAAUAUCUAUUUUCAUUUUUUUUUCAUCAAUGGUAUUGAAUUUACUUGGAUUCAGUUCACUUUCAACCAGAAAAAAAGUAAAGUUAAUAUAUAU